rnacentral:rRNA from 1 species
CAUCUAAGCGUGAAGCCCCCCUUAAGAUGAGACAUCACAAAGACCCCUCAGAGAGUAUGAGGUAGAUAGGUUUGAGGUGUAAGCACCGCAAGGUGUUCAGCUGACAAAUACUAAUAGGUCGGAAGCUUAUCCU